rnacentral:rRNA from 1 species
GACGAACGCUGGCGGCGUGCUUAACACAUGCAAGUCGAACGGAAAGGCCCUGCUUUUGUGGGGUGCUCGAGUGGCGAACGGGUGAGUAACACGUGAGUAACCUGCCCUUGACUUUGGGAUAACUUCAGGAAACUGGGGCUAAUACCGGUUAGGAGCUCCUGCUGCAUGGUGGGGGUUGGAAAGUUUGGGCGGUUGGGGAUGGACUCGCGGCUUAUCAGCUUGUUGGUGGGGUAGUGGCUUACCACGGCUUUGACGGGUAGCCGGCCUGAGAGGGUGCCCGGCCACAGGGGAAAUGAGUAACGGCCGAGGCAGCUAGGGGAGGCAGCAGUGGGGAGUGUUGCUGAACGGGCGGAGGCGUGUGGAGGAAGCCCCGCGUGCGGGAUGACGGCCUCCGGGAUGUAAACCGCUUUCGCGUGUGACGAAGCGUGAUGCACGGUAAGGGUGAAAGAAGCACCGCCAAACUACGG